UACGAAGGGGGCUAGCGUUGUUCGGAGUUACUGGGCGUAAAGGGCGCGUAGGCGGCGCACCAAGUCAGGCGUGAAAGCCCUGGGCUCAACCCGGGAAUUGCGCUUGAGACUGGUGUGCUCGAGUACGGGAGAGGAUAGUGGAAUUCCCAGUGUAGAGGUGAAAAUUCGUAGAUAUUGGGAAGAACACCGGUGGCGAAGGCGGCUAUCUGGACCGUAACUGACGCUGAGGCGCGAAAGCGUGGGGAGCAAACAGG
rnacentral:rRNA from 1 species